UUUUUUUUUUUUUUUUUUUUGAGACAGAGUCUCACUCUGUCACCCAGGCUGCAGUGCAAUGGCAUGAUCUUGGCUCACUGCACCUCUGCUUCUCAGGCUCAAGCGAUUCCCAUGCCUCAGCCUCCCUAGUAGCGGAGACUACAGGUGCAUGCCACCAUGCCCAGCUAAUUUUUGUAUUUUAAGAAGGGACGGGGUUUCACCGGGUUGCCCAGGCUGGUCUCGAACUCCUGAGCUCAAGCGAUCCACCCACUUCGGCCUCCCAAAGUGCUGGGAUUACAGAUGUGAGCCACCACACCCAGCCAGCUAUUCUUAUUAUCUCCAUUUUACAGAUGAGGACAUUGAGGCUUAAUGCGGGAAAAUAAUUUGCCCAAAGCCACCUUGCUGGGAAGUGGCAGAGCUGGGAGUCUAAGGUCAGUCUUACUCCCAGGUUGGUGCCCUUCAGAACCGCAGGGACAACCCUUCCCGCAAGGGUCUCCGAGAUGCAAUGCGUUGCACCUUUCUGGAGGCUACGGGGCUGCCGCUUCAGCAAUUCAUGUAUAAUUUAAGGGAAUUCUGAAGCAGUCUGGAUGUUUAAAUGAUGUCUUAGUAAUGUAAAAAUCUGCUUCUCUUCAAUCUGUAUUCUCUCCAAAUUCAGUAGACUAUCUGAGAACUCUCCUAUCUGUACUCCCUCUCCAAAUACCCGCUUGGCCCCACCUGUGCCCUGCCCAGCCUCCCAUCUCUCAUUUCACUGAAGAAAUGAGAUUCGGAUGGAAAAAUACUGGUACAAGCUUGACCGAGCUUCUCUAACAGACACUGUGCAUCACGCAUCAGCUGCUGCUGUUGCUAUGGUGACAGCCACAAUUUCUCCCAGACAGCUUGGGUCUGAAGGGAGGGUGGACCCUUGGGGAACAAGUGGAUCUCUCCAACCUGUCAGUCCCUCUCACCUUGCCCGUUUCUCUCGCCUCCCCCACUCCCGCCAGCCCCCACACUUCCUUAGAUGAUGCUGACAGGGGGUACCAGCACCCCCAGGCCAUCAUAAUUAGCAUCUGGCCGUGAUCCCAGUCUGCUG
rnacentral:lncRNA from 1 species